AUGUGGUUUGUACUUUCACCGUUGGAUUUGAACUUUAGAGGCUCGAUAUUUGGCGCGCGGUCCACUAAUCGCACCGGUGUUCUGGCUGGUAUGAAGAGGUGUAUAUGCCGUUUGCUCCAUUUUCUUGCAAGUCGACGUUCAGCUCUCUUCGUCGGAACAUGGCGUGCAAGUCAAAGCCGGCAAGCGGAACUUUCUCUCCAAGCCAAAAAAAGGAAGAAAUCAAGAAAGGAGAGAAAGAACGUGCGUACAAGACGAAAAAUGCUCAAGCAAUGUGCCGAAAUCGGAAACGCCUCCGUGGAGCAACCCACGCCGCAGCUAACACACCAUACCUCGUCCACUCAUCCGAAUCUCUCGCUUGUUCUUAAGCCCCAGCGCCGCCGAGCCAGAUCAACAUUCACCCAACGAGCCCAUCCCAGCUAG
rnacentral:rRNA from 1 species